GAUGAAGAACGUAGCGAAAUGCGAUACGUAAUGUGAAUUGCAAAUUCAGUGAAUCAUCGAGUCUUUGAACGCACAUUGCGCCCCCUGGUAUUCCGGGGGGCAUGCCUGUCCGAGCGUCAUUGCUGCCCUCAAGCACGGCUUGUGUGUUGGGCCCCGUCCUCCGAUCCCGGGGGACGGGCCCGAAAGGCAGCGGCGGCACCGCGUCCGGUCCUCGAGCGUAUGGGGCUUUGUCACCCGCUCUGUAGGCCCGGCCGGCGCUUGCCGAUCAACCCAAAUUUUUAUCCAGGUUGACCUCGGAUCAGGUAGGGAUACCCGCUGAACUUAAGCAUAUAAAUAAGCGGAGGA
rnacentral:misc_RNA from 1 species